AAAAAAUUUGCCUUAAAGUUAAACAGAACUCCCACAUAUAUGCACACUUUGAAACAAAUUCGGCAGCCUAGGAGACAUUUUCUUAAAAUGAUAUACAUAUCCAGUGGGGGGCUUCCAUGGUGGCACGGGGGGCAACCCGCCCCCCCUGUAAUCUGAUUGGCCACCCUGUAUGUAUUUGGACUUCAACUUUCUAUACAGUUCAGUCCUGAAGCCAGUUCGUUGGUCAACAAAUUGGCCAUCAUCCGGCGGACCCUCACCUCUAGGGUAGUCCCUCCGAUAAUGGCGAGACGGGCAGUCUGGCAUAGUAUAACACAUUUGCAGGUGUCUCCUCUGCACGGUCCAGGGCCUCCAUGGUGUGGAGGGGCAGCUCCAAGGGCUCCAAGGAGGCCAGUCCCACAGACACAGUCUGUCCACACUUGCAGGAGUGGACGUAUUGCCUGAAUUCCUCCCGCAGGUCCCUCACCUCCUUGGACAACUCCGUCACCGCAGUCAGCAGUUUCUGCAUAGCCACAUCUAUUGACAAAGAAAAUAAUAACAUUUGAAUGUAAAAGCUGACGCCCUUUUACUUAAAAAUUUCAGAAAGUGUUGAACAACUUUUGAAGAGUUAUAUAUAUUUAAGCAAUGCCAUUGGUUUAAGCUAAUUGUUGAUAGAUGGUACAUCCUUCAAUGAUUCAAAGAAUUGAGGAAACAUUUACACAUGAAUGAAAGCCUAGAAAUAGCCUUAGAACAUAACAUUCCUGUACUUGCCUUUUAAUGCCAUUCUGGCAGUGCCUGGAGAAUCUGUAACAAGUAUGAAGAGAGAAAUUAAACCAUUUGACUGGA